UGCCGACGAGUUGGACGAGCAAUAGCUCGACUAGCUCGCCGUUACGUACGGUUUCCUGACAGGGAAGAGUGCAAAACUCUAAAAUCCAGAUUUCAGUCCAUUGCUGGAUUUCCAAAUGUAAUCGGACUGAUUGAUGGAACUCAUGUUCGCAUUCAAAGGCCAAAGAACCACGAAGCCGAUUUCAUAAAUAGAAAAGGCUACCAUUCUUUGAACGUGCAAAUGGUAUGUGACCACAGCAAAAAUGUGAGGAGCUUAACAGCUAAAUGGCCAGGAAGCACACAUGAUGCGAGAAUAUGGAGAGAGUGUCAUCUACGGAACCAGUUCGAACAAGGAGCUCAUAAUGGCUUCAUUCUUGGAGACUCGUGGUACCCAUGUACACCCUACCUGAUGACUCCUUUCCGAACCCCCGAAGCACAGAAUCAAGAGCAGUUUAAUCUGGCUCUGUGCAAAACAAGAGUGCUUGUGGAGCAGACCUUUGGUAUUCUAAAAAGAAGAUUCGCAAUACUCCAUUACGGGAUAAGGACUGACUUGGCGACAGCAGUGACCUAUAUCACUGCGUGUGUAGUUAUGCACAAUUUUGGAAUUGAACAUGGGGAUAUCCUUGAAGAGGAUUAUUUGGAUGAUGUUUUUGAAGAACAUGUUUAUCAUGAAAAUGUUGAAAUAAAUGCAAACCAUGUUGG